rnacentral:rRNA from 1 species
UCGAGGAUCAUUCGCAAUGGGCGCAAGCCUGACGAUGCGACGCUGCGUGGAGGAUGAAGGCCUUCGGGUUGUAAACUCCUGUCAUUCGGGAACAGUAAACCGGCCAUUAACACUGGUUGGAAUCGAUAGUACCGGAAGAGGAAGCCACGGCUAACUCUGUGCCAGCAGCCGCGGUAAUACAGAGGUGGCAAGCGUUGUUCGGAUUUACUGGGCGUAAAGGGUGCGUAGGUGGUUUCGUGUGUCGGGCGUGAAAGCCCACCGCUCAACGGUGGAAUGCCGUCCGAAACUACGAGGCUAGAGUGCAGGAGAGGAGAGCGGAAUUCUUGGUGUAGCGGUGGAAUGCGUUGAUAUCAAGAAGAACACCAGUGGCGUAGGCGGCUCUCUGGAAUGCAACUGACACUGAGGCACGAAAGUUGGGGGAGCAACCAGG